rnacentral:misc_RNA from 1 species
GGAAGUAAAAGUCGUAACAAGAUCUCCGUUGGUGAACCAGCGGAGGGAUCAUUACUGGAAUCGCAAGAUCCCACAACCCUGUGAACCUACCGAAACGUUGCCUCGGCGGGUGCCCGGCCUCUGCGCCGGGCGCUGCGCCCGCCGGCGGCCCCCUACUCUGUCUCUGCAGCGUGGCAUCUCAGAGUCCCAGAAAACAAGUCAAAACUUUCAACGACGGAUCACUUGGUUCUG